ACUCCCAUAGCUUAACAUAAAGCAUAGCGCUGAAAACGCUAAGAUGAGCCCUAAAAAGUUCUGAGGGUA
rnacentral:tRNA from 1 species